GAUGAACGCUGGCGGAGUGCCUAAUACAUGCAAGUCGUGCGGCAGCGCGAGUAGUUUACUACUUGGCGGCGAGCGGCGGACGGCUGAGUAACGCGUGGGAACGUGCCCCAAAGUAGAGGGAUAAGCACCAGAAAUAGGUGUCUAAUACCGCAUAUGGUCUUCGAUAAAGAUUAUCGCUUGGAGCGGCCCGCGUACGAUUAGAUAGUUGGUGAGGUAAUGGCUCACCAAGUCUACGAUCGUUAGCUGAUCUGAGAGGAUGACCAGCCAGACUGGGACGUGAGACACGGCCCAGACUCCUACGGGAGGGCAGCAGUAAGGAAUCUUCCACAAUGGACGAAAGUCUGAUGGAGCAACUCCGCGUGC
rnacentral:rRNA from 1 species